UCAAUUUUAUGUUUUUUAAAAAUCCAAUUUUUCUUGUAUUCCUAUCGUUCGCGUUUCUCUCUUUCUCACUUUCCUUUCAGCGGUCAUUUGAAACACCGAAAAAAAGGAUUUCUUUGGCGUCUAGGAUUUCUUUCGUGUCUCCGUGAUUUAUCACCACUACCACCAACUCUCUCUCUCUCUCGUGGAACCAAAAUUAAUCCCAAACCUCUCUCACUCUAUACAAACUCUACUCACUCACUCACGAAGCCCUAGUAGAACUCGCUUUCUUCAAUCGAAAAUGCAAGACAUGUUCGGUUCCGUCCGCUGAUCGCUAGUGUUUCUUUCACCGGACGGUGGCGGCGGCGACGACAAAGGCACCACUGUCAGAACCCUACUCGUUAAACAGAUCAGAUCUCUACGAUAUUGAGAGCAAAUGAACCUGCAGAUGGUGGCUUGAGAAAACCAUGGCUUACAGCUAUUCUGAAACAUCUUCCAGUUUGCAGAUAUCAUAUGCGGCUUGAUACUCCGGCUACAACUUGAAACAUUAAAGACAUUUUUGAGGGUUAUAGUUUUCUCAUUCCUUUUCUUGUGGGCCAAUAACUAUGCUUUAUAUUACAUAGAAAUGAAAUAAUUACCCUAUCAUUAAGCUGCUUUUGCUAAUUUGUUAAGCUGUUAAGCUUUAUUUUGGUCCUAUCUAUAAAAAAAUAGAGCUUUAUUUUGGAAAA